GUGCUCACUUCGGCAGCACAUAUACUAAAAUUGAAACAAUACAGAGAUUAGCAUGGCCCCUGCACAAAGAUGACACACAAAUUCGUGAAGCGUUCCAUGUUUAA
rnacentral:snRNA from 1 species